CAUUGAUACAUUUGUAUGGAUGAGGUUUUCCUGUUCAUAAAUCUCUCAGGAGGAAUGGUGGCUGCUCUGCCCAGACUGAGUGCUGGACGUCUCUUGUAAUGCUCAGCUCACACAGGAAGUGGACCUGGUGGCUUCAGGGAAUUGGUCAGCUCUCUCUCUCACGCCACCUCCCUCACCACGCUUCGACUGCAGGCCUGCGGUCUAACGCCUGACAGCCUUGAUGCUCUCGGUACAAAGAUCUCUGGAUUUUCCUUUUUAUUGCUACUUUUGUUUUAUGUCCUUUAGAGUCUCGGAGGGGUAAAUUAAAAAAACCCCACCUCUGGUUGUCCUGCAGUGGUUCACUCCGUUGCCUCCCCUCUGUGGGAGAGCUGGACCUGUCCUGUAACAAACUUCUAGCUGGUGGACUGAGCCGCCUCACCUUUCACCUGGCUCACGUCACACACCUGGAGAGACUCGACCUCCACCUGUGUUGCCUCAUGCGAGAUGAUCUAGAGGCUCUGAGUGAGUUGCUACGAAUCUCACACGCCGGACACUAAUCGCAUGCACGCUGCAGCAGUCAUGUGACUCGUUGUUUCCAGUCCAGGUGCUGCCCUCUCUCACUGCACUGACGGAGCUUGAUGUGUCAUCAAUAAGGAAGUGGGAGGUGUGGUCCACCGCUGGUCUCCGCCCUCCCUGUGACACAAAUGAGGCGGCUGCCAUUCAACAGCUGCUACCUGAGCAACGAGUCCUGGCCCUGGCGGUGCCCUAUCUGCGCACGGUGGAUAUUUCCUGGUGUAAAGUGGUUGGCGGUCACUUGGCGCUCCUACUGGAUGCUCUGCAGCCAUCAGUCGUCAGCGAGCUCCAUCUUUGCAGCUACGAGUUCACCACUGAUGACAUGCAACAUUGGGUAACUAACACACAAUGACAUUAUACUUUUUCUUUUUUAGUCUGUAGUGGAUCAUUAGGCUACAUAAAUGUAUAUUAAGACAAGUAAAGCCUGAAGGAAAUUAAUAUUUCUUUCAUUUAUUUUAUGCUGCCAGCAUCUGUAGCUGUCGUAUAAACAAAACAAUGAAACUAUUGGGUGUUAUUUUUGUCUCCAUCAGAAACAUUGUGAACAAAACAGUAAAGUGAACA
rnacentral:lncRNA from 1 species